rnacentral:lncRNA from 1 species
UGAAAUUUUUUCUUGGUGGCAAUUUGUAGUACUUUUGACUAGAUUCUAUUCAUACGCAGUACAAUGGCGAAAAUUAUACAAUUUUGUACACGUGAAUUUGGAACAAGAAGAGAAAGAGUAAAUUAUAGUAUAAGUGAAAAAAGGAUCAGUAAGAAGAAAAAGUCAAAAAGUGAUUCCCUUCCCAUGCAAAUAGAUUAGCUGACAGUGUGACACUUCUUCACACGUUCCUUCCUUCCUUUAUAAGCAAAAAAGUAACAAAAAUAAUUAUUUCUCUUCUAAUAAUAUCUUUUACACCUACUCAUUUCAGUACUUUAUUUCUUUUAGCACGUGAAACACAACGGCGUAUUGUCAUAUAAAAUAUUUAUAUACUCAUUUUUGUAACUACUAAUAAGAAUCAAUUACGGAUUAUAUAUAUAUGUGACGUUAGUGAAUAAAAAUACUAAAUUAGUGAAAAGGUUUAUCCAAAAAAAAUUAUCCAAGGGUGUUUAAUAGAAGAAAUGAAAAAGGAAAAUUUUUUUAUUUUCUUGACAUGCACCAGUCAAAAAAAAAUCAGAAGAAAAUUAUAUCAGAUGAAAACAUCAAAAAGUAACUAAAGGAGAGGAAUUCUUCCUUCCUCAAAACUAGUAGAAUUCAUUUUUCUUCUUGAUGUGACAUUUAUUUUCUUCUAUUUUUUCUUUUCAUUUAUUCUAACUUUUUAACCAGUCACAGCCGAAAUAUUUGGUUGAUUAAAAUAUAAAAUCAUUAGUUGCAAGUCUCUGGAAUGGCACGGCCGACAUAAUAGACAAUUUAUUAAGUAACUUUUAAGUCCACUCGCAUCAACUUCAUCAUCAGUUGUUCUAAUAUAAAUAUUUAGUGUCCACUAGCUUUUCGAUAAUAUAGUAUGAUUAAUGUUUAUAAAUAUUAAUGUUUAUAUAUAACUUUGGAAAAGAAAAAGGAAAUAUAAAGGGAAAUAUCAGUUGUUCUAAUGGUGAGAAUCCCUCAUGUACUCUCACCAAUUGUUUAAACAUAUUUUUUUGAAAUUUUUAUAUGAGAAUUUGGAGUUUUUUAAAAAAAAAUUCAUAGUCCAAUACUCCAAUAAUAGUUUCUCUUGUGGGGUUCUUAAAAUAUAUUUUUUGAAAAUAUUUUGAUAUUGAUGUAAUAUGAUGUUUGGUUUUGAUGUAAUUUGAUGAAUUAGGACAAAGUAAAUGGUGUAAUUGGUGUUUGGUGUUUCAAGAGUUCAUAAUCACAACAAAAACUUGUCAAAUGCAAAACAGAGAUUCAUGAUCUACGCAUAUUAAACUUGUCAAAUGCAAAACAGAGAUUCAUGAUCUACACAUAUUUUGAUUUGAGUGUCUUGUCUCCUACUUGGCCUAUAUAAGACAGAUUUGGUAUCUUCGACAUCAAAAACACAUUAAAAAAAAAAACACAUUAAAUUUCAUAGCAUAGACAAUUCACAAGCAACAUUGAACUUGCCUUCUCCACUGCAUUUCUCCUCUUGGCUUCUCCACUUGCAGUUCUCCAUUUAUACUCAACAAAAACAGAGAGAAAUAAAGCACAUUAGCAUAAACAAUUCACAUUCAAAAACAAUAUAUUGAUUCAACAACCUAAUCAAACACAACCAACCACACUUUCUAAUUUCUCAACAACCAACAAUUUUCAAGAAUAAGAAGAAAUUUAACUACAUAAACAGCAUGAGUCUUAAUAUUUAGCUAUGCUAUUCAUAUCCGUAAUUUUCAAUUGUUCCACACAAUCAUGAGUCUUAAAAGGGAAUAAGAAUAAGAAGAAAUUUGAUGGCCCUGCUAGUGAGAGUCGCUGUGAUUCUUGAUGAUCUCAACUAAAAGAUUGUCUCCAGCCACUUCUCGCAUCCUCAUCAACAAUCCAUUAUUUCCUUCAAUAAACCAUCAAAACAAAACAGAGCUUUUCUUUAAUCACCUAAUCAGUCCUUAGUUGCAAUAUAUAACCAUCCAUUGUGCAAUUCUUUCACUAUCUUCUUCAUUCUCAGUUCCUCCUGCAUCAUCAUCAAAAUACAAGCUUUGUUAUUAUGAAACUGUUUUGGUUGUCAGAGAAAAGGUUUUGUCUUUGAAAACUGUUUUGAGGUGGUUCUUUGAAAGCUUGCAUAAUGACUACAUAAACAGCAUAUACAACUCAAUAACCCAAAGCAUUGACUGAAUUGAAAAUGAGAGGUAAGAAACCACAUCACGGAAUUUCACAACAUACAAAUCCAGCAGGAGGAAAUAGUUUGAAAAUUUCAUCACAUCAACUCAUCUUACAGGAGAACAGACUCAAAAUUCACCCUAUCCGCUGUUAAGACCAAAGAUUCCACAAUUUUGUUCCAUUGCAGUAAUCGAUGGAACAAUAGCAAGAACUUACCGAAAUUUUCGAUGUCGUCGAAAGAGAGAGAGAUGUGUUCUUCCCAAUCAAUAGAAUUUUUGCAGAAUCACAGUGAGAGAAUCACAAAUUGAAGUAUAACACAUAAGAGAUUCGUGUAUAAAGCUUCAUACUUGGAAUUGCAGACAGAGAUUAAGGCACACCCUUCACCCAACUGAGAUUUCGCAAUCGGAGAAAUCAGAAAGAGAGAGAGACACGC